rnacentral:rRNA from 1 species
AGUGAACGCUGGCGGUAGGCCUAACACAUGCAAGUCGAACGGCAGCACAGUAAGAGCUUGCUCUUACGGGUGGCGAGUGGCGGACGGGUGAGGAAUACAUCGGAAUCUACUUUUUCGUGGGGGAUAACGUAGGGAAACUUACGCUAAUACCGCAUACGACCUACGGGUGAAAGCAGGGGAUCUUCGGACCUUGCGCGAUUGAAUGAGCCGAUGUCGGAUUAGCUAGUUGGCGGGGUAAAGGCCCACCAAGGCGACGAUCCGUAGCUGGUCUGAGAGGAUGAUCAGCAACAAUGGAACUGAGACACGGUCCAGACUCCUACGGGAGGCAGCGGUGGGGAAUAUUGGACAAUGGGCGCAAGCCUGAUCCAGCCAUACCGCGUGGGUGAAGAAGGCCUUCGGGUUGUAAAGCCCUUUUGUUGGGAAAGAAAAGCAGCAGGUUAAUACCCCGCUGUUCUGACGGUACCCAAAGAAUAAGCACCGGCUAACUUCGUG